AUGGCCCAUCAGCUAGUUGGUAGGGUAAAGGCCUACCAAGGCUACGACGGGUCGCUGGUCUGAGAGGACGACCAGCCACACUGGCACUGAGAUACGGGCCAGACUCCUACGGGAGGCAGCAGUGAGGAAUAUUGCGCAAUGGGGGAAACCCUGACGCAGCAACGCCGCGUGUGGGAAGAAGGGCCUUCGGGUCGUAAAACCACUUUUGCACGGGACGAAAAAGGGAUAUCGAACAAAUAUCCCCGAUGACGGUACCGUGAGAA
rnacentral:rRNA from 1 species